CGGGAGGAGACAAAUAAAUCAAGCGAUGAACCACCAUUACGAGACUGGUAUGUGCGGAACGAAAAAAGAGGGGGGGUGGAGGAAAUUUUUUUUAUUUUGUUUGCCUCUUGUGAGUAUUUAUAAACCUCCACCCCAAGAGAGACAAAUCGUCGCCUUUUACUAAUCGCAAGCAAGAAUUUAACAGCUGUGUGGAGUGAAUUAUUGAUUGAAGAGAGGACUGGUAAAUAUGGAGUGCGGAAGGAAAAUUCUAUGACGCAGUUGUUAAUGGCGUCUUGCUAAGACAGGCUUGUCAAAGAAAGACGAAGGGAGGAGGACCAGGGUCAUUGGAAUGUAAAUGAUGGAUUGAAUGUGAUAACCUGGCAGAGCCCCUUUGUGAUAUAUGUGGCAAGCUUGGGAAAAUUAAUAGGACGGACCGAGGAUAAAUUUUUGAAGACGGGGAGUAAUGGCGGCUGUCCUUAUGAGAUAUGACUUUUGGAGUGUGCAAAAUCCACGCAGAUGUUGUUUGUUCCUAACCUGCUUGCGAAGAUUAUCAGAGAUUGCAAAGAAAGGAAUACAUGAUAACAACAAGAAGAUGAAGAAGUAAUAAAGAGACUAUCUGGACAGAGCUGGAUAGAAUCGUUUGAUAAAAGCAGUAACAGAAGUGAUGUUUUGAUUCUCGUUCGGAGCUUGAUGUAAGGGUACCCCCAACAAAAUUUAAAAAUCUGGCUGUAUAAUUUGGAAGUAAUAUGAUUUGGAAAUAAUGUGAUUGGAUUGGCCUGUU
rnacentral:lncRNA from 1 species